rnacentral:lncRNA from 1 species
CUGCUGAAAAGUUACGCCUGUUGCCUCGUGAAGUGACGUCAAAAUGACGUCACAUUGUCGCGGAAGAUUUGUUUUCACCAGCCAUCUUAGUUCAAGCACACUCUGGAUAUAUUACAACCAAGUGAUUGUGCAGCAACGGGAACUGGACAGAUGAUCUGUGAAUUCGGAUAAGCAAGGGGGAAAAUGUUACACGACCAUUCCAGGAGAUAAAAUCAAGAAUGUUGAAUCAUUGAGGAACACACCAAAUAAACCCUGGGCUGUGAAUUAUGUUAACGGAAGUGGAAGUGAACACCAAAGAAAGAAGAUUCUGGCAUUCAAUAAUUUCGAAUAGUGUAUAAAUUUUCUAUAAUCUAAAAAUAAUAAAAUGUCAACGCAAA